UACGGGGGGGGCAAGCGUUGUUCGGAAUUACUGGGCGUAAAGGGCUUGUAGGUGGCCAACUAAGUCAGACGUGAAAUCCCUCGGCUUAACCGGGGAACUGCGUCUGAUACUGGAUGGCUGGAGUGUGGGAGAGGGAUGCGGAAUUCCAGGUGUAGCGGUGAAAUGCGUAGAUAUCUGGAGGAACACCGGUGGCGAAGGCGGCAUCCUGGACCAUGACUGACGCUGAGGAGCGAAAGCCAGGGGAGCAAACGGG
rnacentral:rRNA from 1 species